CCAGGACGGAAAAUGUUAGUGUUAGGGAUUCGUUAGUCACUAGUGAGUGGCGAUAAUAAGAGAAUAAGAGGAAUAAGAGAAAAAACAAACGUUUGAUCGAAGCGUCUGUUGCGGACGCAAACGCCUUAACUUAUAAGUGCGAGAAAAAAAAGUCGUCGUCAACGAUUUCGUUUGCGUUUAAUUGUAUUUAAUUGGAAUUAUGCAAUUAUGCUUGCGUCGGUAAGUGCAGUUUUAUUUAUUAAAUAACUUUAAAUGGUGCGCGGGUUAUAUUCGUCCCGGUUAAUUCCGCGAUUGUAUUUCUCGGUCGGCUUUUAUUCAAAAGUUUUCAUUCGGAAGUGAACUUAAUCCGCGAAUCAGAAGUAAAUUUUGUUUACAUCGACCGGUGAUUUAUAUUCUUCAUAAGUCGUGGCUUUCAAUAAAAGUGAAAAAUCUAAAAGAUUAUAUAGCAGAAGCUAAAAAAAGAUUUCGUCGGAAAUAAUAUUGCGUUUCAAUAGUGAAAAAGUGUUUUAAGUGCCUACUAAAGUGGGGAAAAAACUGCAGUUUCUGCUGAAAUUCCCAUGUAAAAUGUUCCGGAUCUUCGACGGGGAAGAUGCUCAGUAAACGGAAGCAGAAAAAUAUAGAUAUAUUCUCUGUCUAACCAGUGCAUUUUUACCAGAACAGGCAGAUCAAAGUAUGAUGUGCGCAACUGGGGUGAGUGUCCUUAAGAAUCAAAAUAUCAUGCAGGAUAAAAUUGGUUCCAAAAUGAAACAAAAUUUAAUUUAGUACAGUGAAUCCUGCAGGAUAGCAAUUGUGAAGCUAUUUUGAAAUGUAUACAUUAGUGGAAUGGCUUUCGACCCGGAAGGUACAUGGAGGCGUGGAGCGCACAUGACCAUGUACAGAACGACUUGGAGAGCGUGGGGCGCAACGGAUGAUGGAGAAUGUGGCCUCGAACAGUGUAUUGUGGCGUCGAAUUAAUGAUUCAGUGUUAUAAAGAUGCAUGCUAAAUAAAUGAAUAAACGAGUGAAUAAAUAAAUAAAUGAAUAAUUGUGUACAUAAGAGCACCAUGCUGGCUAGAAGACAGAACAAGGCGGAACACAUCUAGAUACGGUCUAAAGCCCGUCCCUGAGCAUCUAUCAGUCAAUCACAAAUUUGUUGUUGCCAUUGACUUGUCUUCUCGUUUUACGACCAUCCACAGUCGGUACGCUCAGCAAAUCGUAGAGCUUUCUUGUAGGUAAUGAGUAAAAUCAGAUUAGCUCAGUGGACUUUCUGGAUCUGUAAGCGAUGCACGGAUACAUCAUUCAGGACUUGAUUGUUCGGGUGCAAAAGGUCGUCGGAGCCGACUAGACCUAGACCCUGCACUAGCUAGCUGUAUGAAAUUUAAGAAGACGGACGUAUGACUGGCAUACAGGGAGACUGGCGGUUGGCGACCCAAGAACAAACGGAAUAAGAUUUUAUGUUCACUAUUCGUGCCAAGGACACUAAAAAUAAGAAACUAUCUCCACUUCAUCCACAAACUUGAAGUAAUGGACCAACUAUGAUAAAUGGUAAAGUCAUCAAGCUAUAGUGCUUUGGACUUGCACAAGCUGUGUAUGAGAUGCCAGAUGCCUUUCUGAAGAAGAGCAAGGAUCGUGCUCCGGUGAGAUAGAUUACAUCAGAAUCGCUUACGGACCACAUCUGCACCACAAAAAUUGAUGGCUAGGAAUUAUUCGCUAAAUGGAAUGUCGAAAAGAAAAAAUAAGAUGAAAUUUUGUUCGUGUUGCUCGGAUGAUACAAAUUUGCGACAUUGGGAUCAAAUUCCACAUCAAAUCUGAUGUACUGUAUGAAAACACGACGAAACCGAUUGCUCGAUAGUGUCUUUUGUCAUGGAGCGCGUUUCGGAAGUCUAUAGGAACCGUUUCAGUAUGUAUCGGUCAGCAAAA